rnacentral:rRNA from 1 species
UCGGGAAUUUUGGGCAAUGGGCGAAAGCCUGACCCAGCAACGCCGCGUGAAGGAUGAAGUAUUUCGGUAUGUAAACUUCGAAAGAAUAGGAAGAAUAAAUGACGGUACUAUUUAUAAGGUCCGGCUAACUACGUGCCAGCAGCCGCGGUAAUACGUAGGGACCAAGCGUUGUUCGGAUUUACUGGGCGUAAAGGGUGCGUAGGCGGCAUAUCAAGUCACUUGUGAAAUCUCCGGGCUUAACUCGGAACUGCCAAGUGAUACUGAUGUGCUAGAGUGCAGAAAGGGCAACUGGAAUUCUUGGUGUAGCGGUGAAAUGCGUAGAUAUCAAGAGGAACACCUGAGGCGAAGGCGAGUUGCUAGGCUGACACUGACGCUGAGGUACGAAAGCUAGGGGAGCGAACGGGAUUAGAUACCCCUGUAGUCCCUGAGCGGGCUGGCAAGGCGCAU